AGCGAACGCUGGCGGCAGGCUUAACACAUGCAAGUCGAGCGGGCCCUUUCGGGGGUCAGCGGCAGACGGGUGAGUAACGCGUGGGAACGUACCCUUUGGUUCGGGACAACUCCGGGAAACUGGAGCUAAUACCGGAUAAGCCCUUUUGGGGAAAGAUUUAUUGCCAAGGGAUCGGCCCGCGUCUGAUUAGCUAGUUGGUGAGGUAACGGCUCACCAAGGCGACGAUCAGUAGCUGGUCUGAGAGGAUGAUCAGCCACACUGGGACUGAGACACGGCCCAGACUCCUACGGGAGGCAGCAGUGGGGAAUAUUGGACAAUGGGCGCAAGCCUGAUCCAGCCAUGCCGCGUGAGUGAUGAAGGCCUUAGGGUUGUAAAGCUCUUUCGGCGGGGACGAUAAUGACGGUACCCGCAGAAGAAGCCCCGGCUAACUUCGUGCCAGCCGCCGCGGUAAAAC
rnacentral:rRNA from 1 species